CUCCAGUCCUGGUCCAGUGUUCCAUUUGAUUAGAGGGACACUGAAGCAGCUCUACAUGUGAGUCUACAAGGGACAUUGAUUGCAUAAACCACUGCAUCAAUCAAGGCUUGAAACAAGUUCUGAACAACUGAGACUGGGUAGGUUUAUUUGACUUUGUUGACACUUCAGGACUAUCAUCAGAUGAGGAAGACUCCUGAUGAUUCCACUGGAUCAUGGCCUGA